AUUGAACGCUGGCGGCAUGCCUUACACAUGCAAGUCGAACGGCAGCGCGGGCUUCGGCCUGGCGGCGAGUGGCGAACGGGUGAGUAAUAUAUCGGAACGUACCCAAGAGUGGGGGAUAACGUAGCGAAAGUUACGCUAAUACCGCAUACGAUCUAAGGAUGAAAGCAGGGGAUCGCAAGACCUUGUGCUCCUGGAGCGGCCGAUAUCUGAUUAGCUAGUUGGUGGGGUAAAGGCCCACCAAGGCAACGAUCAGUAGCUGGUCUGAGAGGACGACCAGCCACACUGGAACUGAGACACGGUCCAGACUCCUACGGGAGGCAGCAGUGGGGAAUUUUGGACAAUGGGCGCAAGCCUGAUCCAGCAAUGCCGCGUGAGUGAAGAAGGCC
rnacentral:rRNA from 1 species